GGGUCGUUAGCUCAGUUGGUAGAGCAGUUGAUUUUUAAUCAAUUGGUCGCAGGUUCGAAUCCUGCACGACCCACCA
rnacentral:tRNA from 9 species